AAAGAUGUCAUCUCCUCUGGUUCACCUAAUGUUACGUAUGAUGGACAUGCUGAUGUCAUCACUUUACAAAAUGAAUUUCAUUAUGCUUGUGAGAAGAUAGAUCAGCUUACAAGAGAAAAUGAGGGAUUACUUCAAAAAAUAGAAGAUGGUAGGGGAGAAGAAGCGCAUUGAGUUCAAACAAAUGAUACUUCGAAUAUUCGAAGAAAGGAAUGG
rnacentral:lncRNA from 1 species